rnacentral:rRNA from 1 species
UACGGAGGGAGCUAGCGUUGUUCGGAAUUACUGGGCGUAAAGCGCACGUAGGCGGACUGGAAAGUCAGAGGUGAAAUCCCAGGGCUCAACCUUGGAACUGCCUUUGAAACUAUCAGUCUGGAGUUCGAGAGAGGUGAGUGGAAUUCCGAGUGUAGAGGUGAAAUUCGUAGAUAUUCGGAGGAACACCAGUGGCGAAGGCGGCUCACUGGCUCGAUACUGACGCUGAGGUGCGAAAGCGUGGGGAGCAAACAGG